rnacentral:rRNA from 1 species
AUGACGGCCUUCGGGUUGUAAACCUCUUUCAGCAGGGAAGAAGCGCAAGUGACGGUACCUGCAGAAGAAGCACCGGCUAACUACGUGCCAGCAGCCGCGGUAAUACGUAGGGUGCGAGCGUUGUCCGGAAUUAUUGGGCGUAAAGAGCUCGUAGGCGGUCUGUCACGUCGGAUGUGAAAGCCCGGGGCUUAACCCCGGGUCUGCAUUCGAUACGGGCAGACUAGAGUGUGGUAGGGGAGAUCGGAAUUCCUGGUGUAGCGGUGAAAUGCGCAGAUAUCAGGAGGAACACCGGUGGCGAAGGCGGAUCUCUGGGCCAUUACUGACGCUGAGGAGCGAAAGCGUGGGGAGCGAACAGGAUUAGAUACCCUGGUAGUCCACGCCGUAAACGUUGGGAACUAGGUGUUGGCGACAUUCCACGUCGUCGGUGCCGCAGCUAACGCAUUAAGUUCCCCGCCUGGGGAGUACGGCCGCAAGGCUAAAACUCAAAGGAAUUGACGGGGGCCCGCACAAGCAGCGGAGCAUGUGGCUUAAUUCGACGCAACGCGAAGAACCUUACCAAGGCUUGACAUACACCGGAAAGCCGUAGAGAUACGGCCCCCCUUGUGGUCGGUGUACAGGUGGUGCAUGGCUGUCGUC